rnacentral:rRNA from 1 species
UACGAAGGGUGCAAGCGUUACUCGGAAUUACUGGGCGUAAAGCGUGCGUAGGUGGUUUUUUAAGUCCGUUGUGAAAGCCCUGGGCUCAACCUGGGAAUGGCAGUGGAUACUGGAAAGCUAGAGUGCGGUAGAGGGUAGUGGAAUUCCCGGUGUAGCGGUGAAAUGCGUAGAGAUCGGGAGGAACACCAGUGGCGAAGGCGGCUACCUGGACCAGCACUGACACUGAGGCACGAAAGCGUGGGGAGCAAACAGG